AUGCAUCGGGAAUGGUCGGGAUAGCUCAGCUG
rnacentral:tRNA from 1 species